rnacentral:rRNA from 1 species
GGAUUGCCCCAGUAACGGCGAGUGAAGCGGCAACAGCUCAAAUUUGAAAUCUGGCUCCCCAGGGGCCCGAGUUGUAAUUUGCAGAGGAUGCUUUCGGCGCGGCGCCUUCCGAGUGCCCUGGAACGGGACGCCAAAGAGGGUGAGAGCCCCGUCUGGUCGGACGCCAAGCCGGUGUAAAGCUCCUUCGACGAGUCGAGUAGUUUGGGAAUGCUGCUCUAAAUGGGAGGUAUAUGUCUUCUAAAGCUAAAUACCGGCCAGAGACCGAUAGCGCACAAGUAGAGUGAUCGAAAGAUGAAAAGCACUUUGAAAAGAGGGUUAAACAGUACGUGAAAUUGUUGAAAGGGAAGCGCUUGUGACCAGACUUGCGCCCGGCGGAUCAUCCGGCGUUCUCGCCGGUGCACUUCGCCGGGCGCAGGCCAGCAUCAGCUCGCCGCGGGGGACAAAGGUAGCGGGAACGUGGCUCCCCCGGGAGUGUUAUAGCCCGCUGCGCAAUGCCCUGCGGCGGACUGAGGUUCGCGCUCCGCAAGGAUGCUGGCGUAAUGGUCAUCAGCGAC